rnacentral:rRNA from 1 species
GAUGAACGCUGGCGGCGUGCCUAAUACAUGCAAGUCGAGCGAACGGACGAGAAGCUUGCUUCUCUGAUGUUAGCGGCGGACGGGUGAGUAACACGUGGAUAACCUACCUAUAAGACUGGGAUAACUUCGGGAAACCGGAGCUAAUACCGGAUAAUAUUUUGAACCGCAUGGUUCAAAAGUGAAAGACGGUCUUGCUGUCACUUAUAGAUGGAUCCGCGCUGCAUUAGCUAGUUGGUAAGGUAACGGCUUACCAAGGCAACGAUGCAUAGCCGACCUGAGAGGGUGAUCGGCCACACUGGAACUGAGACACGGUCCAGACUCCUACGGGAGGCAGCAGUAGGGAAUCUUCCGCAAUGGGCGAAAGCCUGACGGAGCAACGCCGCGUGAGUGAUGAAGGUCUUCGGAUCGUAAAACUCUGUUAUUAGGGAAGAACAUAUGUGUAAGUAACUGUGCACAUCUUGACGGUACCUAAUCAGAAAGCCACGGCUAACUACGUGCCAGCAGCCGCGGUAAUACGUAGGUGGCAAGCGUUAUCCGGAAUUAUUGGGCGUAAAGCGCGCGUAGGCGGUUUUUUAAGUCUGAUGUGAAAGCCCACGGCUCAACCGUGGAGGGUCAUUGGAAACUGGAAAACUUGAGUGCAGAAGAGGAAAGUGGAAUUCCAUGUGUAGCGGUGAAAUGCGCAGAGAUAUGGAGGAACACCAGUGGCGAAGGCGACUUUCUGGUCUGUAACUGACGCUGAUGUGCGAAAGCGUGGGGAUCAAACAGGAUUAGAUACCCUGGUAGUCCACGCCGUAAACGAUGAGUGCUAAGUGUUAGGGGGUUUCCGCCCCUUAGUGCUGCAGCUAACGCAUUAAGCACUCCGCCUGGGGAGUACGACCGCAAGGUUGAAACUCAAAGGAAUUGACGGGGACCCGCACAAGCGGUGGGGCAUGUGGUUUAAUUCGAAGCAACGCGAAGAACCUUACCAAAUCUUGACAUCCUUUGACAACUCUAGAGAUAGAGCUUUCCCCUUCGGGGGACAAAGUGACAGGUGGUGCAUGGUUGUCGUCAGCUCGUGUCGUGAGAUGUUGGGUUAAGUCCCGCAACGAGCGCAACCCUUAAGCUUAGUUGCCAUCAUUAAGUUGGGCACUCUAAGUUGACUGCCGGUGACAAACCGGAGGAAGGUGGGGAUGACGUCAAAUCAUCAUGCCCCUUAUGAUUUGGGCUACACACGUGCUACAAUGGACAAUACAAAGGGCAGCGAAACCGUGAGGUCAAGCAAAUCCCAUAAAGUUGUUCUCAGUUCGGAUUGUAGUCUGCAACUCGACUACAUGAAGCUGGAAUCGCUAGUAAUCGUAGAUCAGCAUGCUACGGUGAAUACGUUCCCGGGUCU